CCUACGGGGUGCUGCAGUGGGGAAUAUUGGACAAUGGGCGAAAGCCUGAUCCAGCCAUGCCGCGUGUGUGAAGAAGGCCUUCGGGUUGUAAAGCACUUUCAGUGGGGAAGAAAGCCUUGGGGCUAAUACCCUCGAGGAAGGACAUCACCCACAGAAGAAGCACCGGCUAACUCCGUGCCAGCAGCCGCGGUAAUACGGAGGGUGCGAGCGUUAAUCGGAAUUACUGGGCGUAAAGCGCGCGUAGGCGGUCUGAUAAGCCGGUUGUGAAAGCCCCGGGCUCAACCUGGGAACGGCAUCCGGAACUGUCAGGCUAGAGUGCAGGAGAGGAAGGUAGAAUUCCCGGUGUAGCGGUGAAAUGCGUAGAGAUCGGGAGGAAUACCAGUGGCGAAGGCGGCCUUCUGGACUGACACUGACGCUGAGGUGCGAAAGCGUGGGUAGCAAACAGGAUUAGAUACCCGUUAGUC
rnacentral:rRNA from 1 species